GCCUGAUGACAUUGCCUGAUCACUGUAGAGCCAUACUGAGCCACACUAAUUUCAUUAACCCAGUUCGGUUACUGGCACACGGUCUAGUGACGUAACUAAGAACCUUUGAUCAAUUUCAGCCAGUGUUUUUUGAACGUUGUUGCAAAGGAGGUACGGCGGAUACAAAAGGCACUCCUAUUAAGACAAGGGUCGCUGCAGUAGUGGUCCACAA